GUCUACGGCCAUGCCACCCUGAACGUGCCCGAUCUCGUCUGAUCUUGGAAACUAAGCAGGGUUGGGCCUGGUUAGUAAAUUGGAUGGGAGACCACCUAGAAAUACCAGGUGCUGUAGGUC
rnacentral:rRNA from 1 species